AAUUUUCUGGCCUGUGCGUGAUCAAUUAUAUAAUUUUUGUUCUAACAUUGUCAUAACGGGGCUAUCCCUAUACUUGUCAUCACAGACAAAUCACGAUCAUACUCUUGAGAUGAUACGGAUCCUGUAUCGCAGGUAUAAAUAGCUACCACCUGAUCUUCAGGCGACCAAAAAUUCAUUUGAAACGGCAGGCUGGAUAUUAA
rnacentral:other from 2 species